UUCGAGGUUGUGGUCACACAC
rnacentral:misc_RNA from 1 species